rnacentral:rRNA from 1 species
GACGAACGCUGGCGGCGUGCCUAAUACAUGCAAGUCGAACGCAGUGGGGACGGGUGAGUAACACGUGGGUCACCUCCCAUCAGAGGGGAUAACACUUGGAAACAGGUGCUAAACCGAUACUGAUGGAUGGACCCGCGGUGCAUUAGCGAGUUGGGGAGGGAACUGCUCACCAAGGCCACGAUGCAUAGCCGACCAGAGAGGGUGAUCGGCCACACUGGGACUGCGACACGGACCAUACUCCUCCGGGAGUCAGCAGUAGGGAAUCUUCGGAAAUUGACGAAAGUCUGACCGAGCAACGCCGCGUGAGGGAAGAAGGUUUUCGGAUCGUAAAACUCUGUUGUUAGAGAAGCGGUAUCUAACCAGAAAGCCACGGCUAACUACGUGCCAGCCGCCGCGGUAAUUC